rnacentral:rRNA from 1 species
GUAGGGAAUAUUGGACAAUGGGGGGAACCCUGAUCCAGCCAUGCCGCGUGAUAGAUGAAGGCCCUCUGGGUUGUAAAUAUCUUUUAUCUGGGAAGAAACUCCUCUAUUCUUAGAGGCCUGACGGUACCAGAGGAAUAAGCACCGGCUAACUCCGUGCCAGCAGCCGCGGUAAUACGGAGGGUGCAAGCGUUAUCCGGAUUCACUGGGUUUAAAGGGUGCGUAGGCGGGUUGAUAAGUCAGUGGUGAAAGCUCCGGGAUUAACUUGGAAACUGCCAUUGAUACUGUCAGUCUUGAAUGUCGUAGAGGUAAGCGGAAUGUUGCAUGUAGCGGUGAAAUGCUUAGAUAUGUUACAGAACACCAAUUGCGAAGGCAGCUUACUAUGCGAUAAUUGACGCUGAGGCACGAAAGCGUGGGGAGCAAACAGGAUUAGAUACCCUUGUAGUCC